rnacentral:rRNA from 1 species
AACGAACGCUGGCGGCAGGCCUCAAACAUGCAAGUCUAGGGGGUGUAGCAAUACAUCACCGGCGGACGGGUGCGUAACGCGUGGGAAUAUACCUAUCGAUUCGGAACAACUGAGGGAAACUUCAGCUAAUACCGAAUACGUCCUAACGGAGAAAGAUUUAUCGUCGAUAGAUUAGCCCGCGUUCGAUUAGCUAGUUGGUGGGGUAACGGCCCACCAAGGCGACGAUCGAUAGCUGUUCUGAGAGGAAGAUCAGCCACACUGGGACUGAGACACGGCCCAGACUCCUACGGGAGGCAGCAGUUGGGAAUCUUGGACAAUGGGGGGAAACCCUGAUCCAGCCAUGCCGCGUGAGUGAUGAAGGCCUUCGGGUUGUAAAACUCUUUCGCGCACGACGAUAAUGACGGUAGUGCGAGAAGAAGCUCCGGCUAACUUCGUGCCAGCAGCCGCGGUAAU